UACAGAGGGUGCAAACGUUGUUCGGAAUUACUGGGCGUAAAGCGCGUGUAGGCGGCCUAGUGUGUCGGGCGUGAAAUCCCACGGCUCAACCGUGGACGUGCACUCGAAACUGCAAGGCUGGAGUACUGGAGAGGAUGGUAGAAUGCUCGGUGUAGAGGUGAAAUUCGUAGAUAUCGAGCGGAAUACCGGUGGCGAAGGCGGCCAUCUGGACAGUCACUGACGCUGAGACGCGAAAGCGUGGGGAGCAAACAGG
rnacentral:rRNA from 1 species